GCCCUUGUAGCUCAGUCGGUUAGAGCACCUCCUUGGUAAGGAGGAGGUCACCGGUUCAAUUCCGGUCAAGGGCU
rfam:Nitrospirae bacterium RIFCSPLOWO2_02_42_7 rifcsplowo2_02_sub10_scaffold_1724, whole genome shotgun sequence.